rnacentral:lncRNA from 1 species
UCUGAUCAUUCCUACGCAGCCGCACACCAAAACAAUGCGGUCCGCACAUGUUCCUUAAUUCCCACUUUUUGUCAUCUUCUUGUGACUUGGCAGAUUUCACUCCUUCUUGAGCCGAUUUGGAUUUUAAUCAUCUUGUCGCUCAAACCUGCAAUCAAGCGCAUCUUGUAAGUACUUCAGGACUAAUCAAGGAAAAAUUAUGCACAAAGCAAGAAGGGGGUAUAAAUCAUGUAUAAUUCACAGUUAUCAAUGUCUGCCUAUGUUUUCCUCUCUGUAUAUGCUUUUCCAGCAGUAGUCUUGUAUAUUUAACUGGUUUAGUGACUAUUGAAUCUUUCUGUCUGCUGCACAAGGUGUAUUCUGCCUCUGUUAAAGGUAUUAUCAAGAUAGUGAUAGUUCAGUCUAAUUUGAAUGGAGCAAUUGGAUAUAUACUUGGAUAUAGGACUAUAGUACACUUCUGCAUCUACUUUAGGAUGCAUAAACCUGUUUCCCCCUAUGCUGCUGCCCCACAUCAUGACCUUUAAGUUGCAGGAAUGCUUAGUUAUUAUAUUAGGAUGCAUAAACCUGUUUCCCCCUAUGUUGC